rnacentral:rRNA from 1 species
GACGGAGGGGGCGAGCGUUGUUCGGAAUGACUGGGCGUAAAGGGCGCGUAGGCGGCCGCGUGAGUGCAUCGUGAAAGCCCUCGGCUCAACCGAGGAAGGGCGGUGCAGACUGCGGGGCUGGAGUGUCGGAGGGGGAUGCGGAAUUCCUAGUGGAGCGGUGAAAUGCGUAGAGAUUAGGAAGAACGUCAGUGGCGAAGGCGGCAUCCUGGACGGACACUGACGCUGAGGCGCGAAAGCGUGGGGAGCGAACGGG